GAGCAGACUCUGCACAGCAGCUUCAGCGUCACAGACACACACACACACACACACACACACACACACACACACACACACAUACAUUCACAUCACUGUGAAGGUCAUCUGAGAGGACACCAGGAGAUGGUUUCACAGACGUCUGCAGGACGAGGUCGCUGUUGUGGGCGGAGCCAGGCAGCGAGCAGAGGCCGAGGCCCGGCUGGCGGCUGGAGAAAGUGGGCGGAGGCUGGAUGAGGGGCGGGGUGUGUCCGAAGGCGCUGAGCCCCCGCUG